UUCCCGUUAAGGGGUUUAGUAUUCACGCUUUAGUGUUUACCAAAUGAUCUUUCCACGAAUGUCACUUAUUGAAGCCUAUGUAGCCCGUUAAACGGCUUGGUCCCACGACUAUAAAAUAUAGGGAACCAUUGCAAGUCAGCUGUGGAGUUGGCAACAUAAUCGAAUUGCGGGGAUCUCCUAAUGCCUAUUAGUACCAACCAUUAUCUUCAAAAUGGGGCCUGUCUACAGGGUGGUCAGAAUCUAAUGGGAUAAUACAAUGGAUUAUCCGCAGCGAAGCUUUUGUAGGCUCGAGAUGCUACAAAAGACCGUUCACAGACUAAGUGAUUAUGGGCAGGCGUUCCUGUCUAAGAUAUAGUCGGUCCGGGCGAGAAAUCACCUGGAAAAUAGCUGUCUCAAGUCUCUAAGAAAAUGGCGAUGAUGAACUCCCAUUUAUAGCAUUCUUAGUACUGGUUGGCUCUGAAAACGUUCCGUAGGUGAACCUGCGGAAGGAUCAUUAAAAAGGAUGCCGGGAAACCGGUAGACCCCACCCGUGUCUAUUUACUCUUGUUGCUUUGGCAGGCCGUGGUCUCCCACUGUGGGCUACGCUUACAUGCGCCUGCCAGAGGACCAAACUCUGAAUAUUAGUGAUGUCUGAGUACUAUAAAAUAGUUAAAACUUUCAACAACGGAUCUCUUGGUUCUGGCAUCGAUGAAGAACGCAGCGAAAUGCGAUAAGUAAUGUGAAUUGCAGAAUUUAGUGAAUCAUCGAAUCUUUGAACGCACAUUGCGCCCUGUGGUAUUCCGCAGGGCAUGCCUGUUCGAGCGUCAUUAUAACCAAUCAAGCCUGGCUUGGUAUUGGGGUACGCGGUCCCGCGGCUCCUAAGAUCAGUGGCGGUGCCGAUUAGGUUCUAAGCGUAGUAAAUCUCCUCGCUAUAGAGUUUUCUCGGUUUCCUGCCAGAACCCCCCCAUAUUUCUCAGGUUGACCUCGGAUCAGGUAGGGAUACCCGCUGAACUUAAGCAUAUCAAUAAGCGGAGGAAAAGAAACCAACAGGGAUUGCCUCAGUAACGGCGAGUGAAGCGGCAACAGCUCAAAUUUGAAAGCUGCCAUCAGGCCGCAUUGUAAUUUGUAGAAGAUGCUCUGGGUGUCGGCCUAAUCUAAGUUCCUUGGAACAGGACGUCAUAGAGGGUGAGAAUCCCGUAUGUGAUUAGUGCCGUCUCCCGUGUAAAGCUCUUUCGACGAGUCGAGUUGUUUGGGAAUGCAGCUCAAAAUGGGUGGUAAAUUUCAUCUAAAGCUAAAUAUUGGCCAGAGACCGAUAGCGCACAAGUAGAGUGAUCGAAAGAUGAAAAGCACUUUGGAAAGAGAGUUAAACAGUACGUGAAAUUGUUGAAAGGGAAGCGCUUGCAAUCAGACUUGCGGGCGGUCGAUCAUCCGAGGUUCUCCCCGGUGCACUCGAUCGUUCUCAGGCCAGCAUCGGUUUCGGUGGUGGGAUAAAGGCUGUGGGAAUGUGGCUCUUCGGAGUGUUAUAGCCCACGGUGCAAUGCUGCCUACCGGGACCGAGGACCGCGCUUCGGCUAGGAUGCUGGCGUAAUGGUUGUAAGCGACCCGUCUUGAAACACGGACCAAGGAGUCUAACAUCUAUGCGAGUGUUUGGGUGUCAAACCCAUACGCGUAAUGAAAGUGAACGGAGGUGAGAGCCCUUUAGGGCGCAUCAUCGACCGAUCCUG
rnacentral:misc_RNA from 1 species